rnacentral:rRNA from 1 species
ACGCUGGCGGCACGCCUAACACAUGCAAGUCGAACGAAGUAGCAAUACUUAGUGGCAGACGGGUGAGUAACAUGUAGGUAUCUGCCCUUUGGCCUGGAAUAACACGAGGAAACUUGUGCUAAUACCGGAUAAGUCUUUACGGAGAAAGCUUUAUGCACCAUUGGAUGAGCCUGCACUUGAUUAGUUUGUUGGUGGGGUAAUGGCCUACCAAGACUGUGAUCAAUAGCUGAUUUGAGAGGAUGAUCAGCCACAUUGGGACUGAGACACGGCCCAAACUCCUACGGGAGGCAGCAGUGGGGAAUCUUGCACAAUGGAGGAAACUCUGAUGCAGCGAUGCCGCGUGAGUGAAGAAGGCCUUUGGGUUGUAAAGCUCUUUCGUCGGGGAAGAAAAUGACUGUACCCGAAUAAGAAGGUCCGGCUAACUUCGUGCCAGCAGCCGCGGUAAUACGAAGGGACCUAGCGUAGUUCGGAAUUACUGGGCUUAAAGAGUUCGUAGGUGGUUGAAAAAGUUGGUGGUGAAAUCCCAGAGCUUAACUCUGGAACUGCCAUCAAAACUUUUCAGCUAGAGUAUGAUAGAGGAAAGCAGAAUUUCUAGUGUAGAGGUGAAAUUCGUAGAUAUUAGAAAGAAUACCAAUUGCGAAGGCAGCUUUCUGGAUCAUUACUGACACUGAGGAACGAAAGCAUGGGUAGCGAAGAGGAUUAGAUACCCUCGUAGUCCAUGCCGUAAACGAUGUGUGUUAGACGUUGGAAAUUUAUUUUCAGUGUCGCAGCGAAAGCGAUAAACACACCGCCUGGGGAGUACGACCGCAAGGUUAAAACUCAAAUGAAUUGACGGGGACCCGCACAAGUAGUGGAGCAUGUGGUUUAAUUCGAAGAUACGCGCAGAACCUUACCAACACUUGACAUGUUCGUCGCGACUCUAAGAGAUUAGAGUUUUCGGUUCGGCCGGACGAAACACAGGUGCUGCAUGGCUGUCGUCAGCUCGUGUCGUGAGAUGUUGGGUUAAGUCCCGCAACGAGCGCAACCCUCACUUUUAGUUGCCAUCAUUAAGUUGGGCACUCUGAAAGAACUGCCAGUGAUAAGCUGGAGGAAGGUGGGGAUGACGUCAAGUCCUCAUGGCCCUUACGUGUUGGGCUACACACGUGCUACAAUGGUAUCUACAACAGGAAGCAAAACUGCGAAGUUAAGCAAAUCCCUAAAAGAUACCUCAGUUCGGAUUGCACUCUGCAACUCGAGUGCAUGAAGCUGGAAUUACUAGUAAUCGUGGAUCAGCGUGCCACGGUGAAUGCGUUCCCGGGUCUUGUACACACCGCC